UACGUAGGCAGCGAGCGUUGUUCGGAGUUACUGGGCGUAAAGAGUGCGUAGGCGGUUUUACAAGUCCCCCGUUAAAUCCAGCUGCUUAACAGAUGGGCUGCGGAGGAUACUAUAAGACUAGGAGGCAGGAGAGGCAAGCGGUACUCAGUGGGUAGGGGUAAAAUCCGUUGAUCCAUUGAAGACCACCAGUGGCGAAGGCGGCUUGCCAGAAUGCGCUCGACGGUGAGGGAUGAAAGCUGGGGGAGCAAACCGG
rnacentral:rRNA from 1 species